GUGUGUAUUUAUGAGAAAGAGGAGGAUGCAGCAACUAAUGAAUAAGAUGGAAUACUGUAUGAAAGUUACAGUAUUAAAAGUUAAGUCUUAUUACAGAUAUUGUUUCAUUCAUACAGUAUUCCAUCUUAUUCAUUAGUUGCUGCAUCCUCCUCUUUCGUUUUUUGUUUAUUG